GACGAACGCUGGCGGCGUGCUUAACACAUGCAAGUCGAACGGUGAAGGCGGAGCUUGCUCUGCUGGAUCAGUGGCGAACGGGUGAGUAACACGUGAGCAAUCUGCCCCUGACUCUGGGAUAAGCGCUGGAAACGGCGUCUAAUACUGGAUACGAGCUGCGAAAGCAUCUUCAGCAGCAGGAAAGAACUUCGGUCAGGGAUGAGCUCGCGGCCUAUCAGCUUGUUGGUGAGGUAACGGCUCACCAAGGCGUCGACGGGUAGCCGGCCUGAGAGGGUGACCGGCCACACUGGGACUGAGACACGGCCCAGACUCCUACGGGAGGCAGCAGUGGGGAAUAUUGCACAAUGGGCGGAAGCCUGAUGCAGCAACGCCGCGUGAGGGACGACGGCCUUCGGGUUGUAAACCUCUUUUAGCAGGGAAGAAGCGAAAGUGACGGUACCUGCAGAAAAAGCGCCGGCUAACUACGUGCCAGCCGCCGCCGUAAGAC
rnacentral:rRNA from 1 species